rnacentral:piRNA from 1 species
UUUUUGAUUUUGAAAAUUGGC